UUCCGGUUGAUCCCGCCGGAGGCUACUGCUAUCGGAGUCCGAUUUAGCCAUGCUAGUCCACCGAGCUUUGCUCGGGGCGGAUAGCUGAGUAACACGUGACUAACCUGCCCUAUGGAUGGAGAUAACCUCGCUAACGUGAGGCUAAUAUCCAAUAGCAGAUGAUUGCUGGAAAGCGUCGUCUGUGAAAUGUUCCGACGCCAUAGGAUGGAGUCGCGGCUGAUUAGGUCGUUGGUGAGGUAACGGCUCACCAAGCCAGUAAUCAGUAACAGCCGUGAGAGCGGGAGCUGUCAGUUGGCUCCUGAGACAAGAAGCCAGACCCUACGGGGUGCAGCAGGCACGAAACCUUCACAAUGCACGAGAGUGCGAUGGGGGGACUCCGAGUGUAAUCUUCCCACAAGGAAGGUUACUUUUCUGCACUGUAAGGAGGUGCCGGAACAAGGGGUGGGCAACACUGCUGCCAGCCGCCGCGGUAAUAGCAGGACCCCAAGUGGUAGUCGUUAUUAUUGGGCUUAAAGUGUUCGUAGCCUGCCAUGCAAGUCCGCUGUGAAAUCCACGCGCUCAACGUGUGGGCGUGCAGCGGAUACUGUAUGGCUAGGGACCGGACGGCGUUGAGGCUACUCCCGGAGUAGGAGUGAAAUCCUAAAAUUCUGGGAGGAGCACCUGUGGCGAAAGCGCUCAACGAGUACGGAUCCGACGGUGAGGAACGAAAGCCAGGGGAGCAAAGCGGAUUAGAUACCCGCGUAGUCCUGGCCGUUAACAAUGUGCGUUUGAUGUCGGACAACCUCCGAGGUUGUCCGGUGCCGAAGUGAAAACGUUAAACGCACCGCCUGGGAAGUACGGUCGCAAGGCUGAAACUUAAAGGAAUUGACGGGGGAGCACCACAACCGGUGGAGGCUGCGGUUUAAUUAGAUCCAACGCAGAGUACCCUACCAGAGCCGACAGCAGGAUGACGGUCAGCUUGAAGAGCUUACCUGACGCGCUGAGAGGAGCUGCAUGGCCGCCGUCAGCUCGUGCUGUGAAGUGUCCGGUUAAGUCCGGUAACGAGCGAGACCCGCAUCACAUGUUGCCAUGGAUCCCUUCGGGGAUUCGGCACUCGUGUGAGACCGCUGGCGAUAAGCCAGGGGAAGGAGCGGGCCACGGUAGGUCAGUAUGGCCCGAAUGCUCUGGGAUACACGCGGCC
rnacentral:rRNA from 1 species